UGGGGAAUCUUGCACAAUGGGGGAAACCCUGAUGCAGCGACGCCGCGUGAGCGAUGAAGGUUUUCGAAUCGUAAAGCUCUGUCCUAUGGGAAGAUAAUGACGGUACCAUAGGAGGAAGCCCCGGCUAACUACGUGCCAGCAGCCGCGGUAAUACGUAGGGGGCGAGCGUUGUCCGGAAUUACUGGGCGUAAAGGGUUCGCAGGCGGCAUGACAAGUCCGAUGUCAAAGGCGAAAGCUCAACUUUCGUAAGCAUCGGAAACUGUCAAGCUUGAGUGAAGGGGAGGCAAGUGGAAUUCCUAGUGUAGCGGUGGAAUGCGUAGAUAUUAGGAGGAAUACCGGUGGCGAAGGCGACUUGCUGGACUUCAACUGACGCUGAGGAACGAAAGCGUGGGUAGCAAACAGG
rnacentral:rRNA from 1 species